rnacentral:rRNA from 1 species
GAUGAACGCUGGCGGCGUGCCUAAUAUAUGCAAGUCGAGCGAACGGACGAGAAGCUUGCUUCUCUGAUGUUAGCGGCGGACGGGUGAGUAACACGUGGAUAACCUACCUAUAAGACUGGGAUAACUUCGGGAAACCGGAGCUAAUACCGGAUAAUAUUUUGAACCGCAUGGUUCAAAAGUGAAAGGCGGUCUUGCUGUCACUUAUAGAUGGAUCCGCGCUGCAUUAGCUAGUUGGUAAGGUAACGGCUUACCAAGGCAACGAUGCAUAGCCGACCUGAGAGGGUGAUCGGCCACACUGGAACUGAGACACGGUCCAGACUCCUACGGGAGGCAGCAGUAGGGAAUCUUCCGCAAUGGGCGAAAGCCUGACGGAGCAACGCCGCGUGAGUGAUGAAGGUCUUCGGAUCGUAAAACUCUGUUAUUAGGGAAGAACAUAUGUGUAAGUAACUGUGCACAUCUUGACGGUACCUAAUCAGAAAGCCACGGCUAACUACGUG